AACAUUUAUCAUUACGUAUUAUUACAUCAUUUUUAUUAUUUUUUUCAUUAAUUAUCCUCGUUUAAUAUUACUACUGCAUCCAAACUCAUAUUUACAUACAUACGCAUAUACUGUAUAAUUGGUCAUAUUACCUUUCCCCCUACUUAAGAACGAUUCGACAUAAAAACGGUCGUCUGGAACCAAUUGUGUUCAUUAGUUGGGAACUUAGUGUACAUGCAUCAAAUAUAUAGUCUCGCCCCCCCCGGCUAAUUUUGUUAGCUCAAUGCGGCGCCCGGGCCAACUGCGGCCCACAGUACGAUAGUUUGCGGCCCCCGUCUUAAUAUGAAAGAUUAAUAUUCGUGUGGCCCGCAAGUUUGAUAUGAAUGACACUUGUCGUGUGCUGAGCUGAACGAACCAAUCACGGUGAAGUAUAUGGCUCUCGAGGCUGGGACCUCGGCUGAACGAACCAAUCACGGUGAGGUAUAUGGCUCUCGAGGGCGGGACCUCGGCCGGGCAGUACGUCCAACGCCUCACCGCCUUGACUUGUUCGCUCGCUCAUUCAUUCAGUCCUCCACUCAGCUGGGCAGAGGAGAAGCCAUGAAGCCGCUGACUCCGCUCGGCGCUGCUGCUUCUCCGCCGAUCUUUGCUCAGAAAUGAAGGAGACGCUGUGAUCCAGCCUAUGUCUGUCUGUCGCGAUCUCUUUCAUGGCCGAUGGCGCUCAGAGAGCUGCUGUGUGUUUGUUCAUCUCCCAAACUCCGACCUAUGUAACAGUGCACUUUUAAUUUCUCCUUUUAUGUGUAAUUACACAAAGAUGGCUUUUAUUUUGACACACCUUUACAGUACAUUACUUCAUGGAUGUCUUUGGCGCUUCCUGCCCCCCUCCUCCUAUCCCCUUUGUUUCCGCUUUUCUUCACUCAUAUUUCAUAUUCAUAUUCCUUCUUCCCUGUUUCUGUAACCCUGGGCAGGAAGGUAUGCUUUCUCCAUAUUCCACUUUUCAUAAUCUAUCAUUAAUCUCCUUUACAUACUGUCAUCCGGCCUUUGUACUUUGUACAUAAUUUCAUUUUUUGAACCCCUUUAUCACAAUACAGUGAUAAAAGGGUUGAAAAUGAAAUCAUGUACAAAGUUAUAGUUAAUUAUAAUUAAUUAUAAUUACUUUGGUUGAUUUAUUUUCUUAUUCUUAAGUAUUUCUUUUCAUCUUAUUUUCUGUUAAAAAAUAAAGAUAUUCGAAAACAUUGGAAAGUUUUUUUUUUAUCAGAGCUUUUCUUGUUGAAAUCCGGAUGCGGCCCAGCCUCACCCAGACUCUGCCUCCAGCGGCCCCCAGGCAAAUUGAGUUUGAGACCCAUGAUCUACAGAUAGUUCUAUCUGUAGAUCUUUCUAGAUAGAUCUAUCGAUAGACCUAUAGAUAGAUCGUUCUAGAUAGAUAGAUCUAUCUGUAGACCUAGAUAGACAGAGAGAUAGAACUAUCUAGAUCGAUCUACAGAUAGAUCGAUCUAGAUAGAUGCAUGAUAUUGUAUCGGUAGUGAUGACAAUACAAGCUGGACAUGAAGAAAUAGCAAGGAAGCCAUUUGUUUUUAGACAAAACAGAUUGUGAAAGUACAGGUACUACCCAAAAAAUUUGAAUAUCAAGUAAAAGUUGUUUUAUUUUGGCAAUUUAACAUAAAAGAUGAAACCAACUAAUUUUAUUGAGCCGUUACAUGCAAAUUGACAUUUCUCAAGCAGUUCCUUGUUGUAACUUUGCUGAUUAAGAUUUUCAUCUUCUUAAAACCACAAACCCACAAACUCUGAAAAUUAGAAUACUGUGAAAAGCUUCAGUUUUGUAGGUUCAAAGAGUCAAAUUCUAAUCAGGCAAGUAAUCUAAAACACCUGCAAAAGGGUCUUGAGCCUUUCAAAAGUCUGUCUUAGGUUGGCUCCGAAGAGUUCAGACAUGGGGAAGACUGCUGUUCUGACAGUUGUGCAGAAAACUCUCAUUGACUCUCAAGUCAAUGAGAAUUGAGAGUUGAGAGUAGACAGUCAAGUGGAAGGAAGAAGUGUAGAAGAAAACGGUGUACAAGCAGGAGAGAUGACUGCAGGCUGGAGAGGGUGGUCAGGAAAGGGCCAUUCAAAAGUGGGGGAACUUCAUAAGGAGUGAACCGAUGCUGGAGUUGUUGCUUCAAGAGAAACAACACCCAGGCGGAUGCUGGACAUGGGCUUCAAAUGUCGAAUUCCUGUUGUCUAAACUCUCCUCAAUAGUAAUCAACGCCAGAGGCACCUUCCCUGGGCAAGAGAAAAGAAGGACUGGUCUGUUGCCCAGUGGGUAAAAGUCCUCUUUUCUGAUUAGAGCAAGUUGUGCACCUCAUUUGGCAACAAAGGUCCCAGAGUCUGGAGGAAGACUGGAGAAGAGCACGAUAGAAGAUGCAUGAAGUCCAGUGUUAGGUUUCCCCAGUCUGUGAUGACUUGGUCAUCCAUGUCAGCUGCUGGUGUUGGUAAUCUGUGCUUCAUGAAGUCAAACAUAACCACAGCCGUCUACCAGGACAUUUUAGAGCACUUCAUGCUUGCUUCAGUAGAACAGCUUUAUGGAGAUGCAGACUUCAUCUUCCAGCAGUGGUAAAAGUACAAAGUCCUGGUUCAACGACCAUGGGUUAACAUGUUUGAUUGGCCUGCAAACUCACCUGACUUGAACCCCAUAGAAAAUCUGUGGGUGAUUGUCAAGAGAAAACUGUACGGGAAGAGACCAAACAAUAAAGAACAGCUAAAGCCACAAUUGAAGCAUGCUGGUCUUCCAUAAUCCCCGAGAUAUGCCACAAACUGAUAGCAUCCAUGCCACGCCGGAUGAAGGCAGUUAUUCGGGCAAAAGGGGCCUCAACCAAGUACUAAAUACAGGUGCAAGAGUUUAGCUUUGGAGGCCUCACAUUUUUGUAUUUAAAACCCUUUUUUACAUUGACUUUAUGUAAUAUUCUAAUUUUGUGAGUUUUGGAUUUUGAGUUUUUUUAAGCUGCAAGACCUGAUCAGCAAAAUCCAUAGAAAUAAAAACUUGAAAUAUAUUGAUUUGCAUAUUAUUUGAUUAUAUAAUAUGUCAAAUUCACCUUUUAAGUUGAACUGCAGAAAUACAACAACCUUUUCAAGAUAUUCUAAUUUUCUGAGUAGUACCUGUAAGUCCCAGUCACAUGUUAGACAACCCUGACGGGGAUUUGAACCACGAUCCCCUGCACCGUAGCCUACGAUGCUACCAACUGAGAAAGCCAGCUGGCGGACAUGCAUGAUAUUGUAUCGGUAGUGAUGACAAUACGUGCAGGACCUGGAGAAAGCAGGGAAAGCCAUUUGUUUUUAGACAAAACAGAUUGUGAAAGUGUGAAAGCAAGUCCUAGUCACAUGUUAGGCGACCCUGACCAGGAUUUGAACUGAGAAAGCCAGCUGGCGAACAAGCAUGAUAUUGUAUCGGUAGUGAUGACAACGUGCUAGACCUGGAGAAAUAGCAAGGAAGCCAUUUGUUUUUAGACAAAACAGAUUGUGAAAGUGUAAAAGCAAGUCCCAGUCACACGUGAGUAGUGUACUAUUGUCGUCAUCACUACCGAUACAAUAUCACAAACCUUCGCCCGCUGGCUAACUCACUUGGUAGCACCGAGGGUUACGGUGCAGGGGACCGGGGUUCAAAUCCCGGUCAGGGCCGUCUAACAUGUGAUAGGGAGUUGCUUUCCCAGUUGGCGAUCGAUGUGGCACAAUAUAUGUAGGGACAUCCCUCAACGUUACUUAUGGUAACACACGAAGACGACGAAAGGACCCGCCUCCAGGAUGAUCCAGGGAAAGUUUAAUGAAGUGCCUCAGAGAUCUGUCCAGCUGGGUGAAGUCAACAUAAAA